rnacentral:rRNA from 1 species
CCUACGGGAGGCAGCAGUGAGGAAUAUUGGUCAAUGGACGAGAGUCUGAACCAGCCAAGUAGCGUGAAGGAUGACUGCCCUAUGGGUUGUAAACUUCUUUUAUAAAGGAAUAAAACGAGGCACGUGUGCCUGUUUGCAUGUACUUUAUGAAUAAGGAUCGGCUAACUCCGUGCCAGCAGCCGCGGUAAUACGGAGGAUCCGAGCGUUAUCCGGAUUUAUUGGGUUUAAAGGGAGCGUAGAUGGGUUGUUAAGUCAGUUGUGAAAGUUUGCGGCUCAACCGUAGAAUUGCAUUUGAUACUGGCAGUCUUGAGUACAGUUGAGGUAGGCGGAAUUCGUGGUGUAGCGGUGAAAUGCUUAGAUAUCACGAAGAACCCCGAUUGCGAAGGCAGCUUACUAAACUGUGACUGACAUUGAGGCUCGAAAGUGUGGGUAUCAAACAGGAUUAGAUACCCGAGUAGUC